UACGGGGGGUGCGAGCGUUGUCCGGAAUCACUGGGCGUAAAGGGCGCGUAGGCGGCGCGGGCAGUCAACGGUGAAAGCUUGGGGCUCAACCCCGAGUCGGCCGUCGAUACUCCCGUGCUUGAGCACUGUAGAGGCAGGUGGAAUUCCGGGUGUAGCGGUGGAAUGCGUAGAGAUCCGGAAGAACACCGGUGGCGAAGGCGGCAUCCUGGACCAAUAUUGACGCUGAGGAGCGAAAGCCAGGGGAGCAAACGGG
rnacentral:rRNA from 1 species